GGAUGAGCUAUGGUUAGCAGAAUUGAAAGUAGUAUCGAAUGAACUACUAGUUGGUUGCAUAGUUGCAUUAUUGCAUGAUUUGCAUAUAGCAUUACAUUAUUGCAUUCGUGAGGCAAUGCAUGGUUUUAUUCGUUGCAUAAUCAAGAUAUAUAUCUAUCUGUUUAUUGAACUAACUUGCAGUUGCCUCCCUUGGACCUAUUGGUCGAGCUUUUCCCUUGGGUGGCCGUACCCACUGGGAACCAUGGAGUUGGUUCUCACCCCACGUGGUUUUGGGGUUUUUACAGGUUCGCACGUGAGCGGCGCGGCGGCGCGAGGCGAGGGCGUAGCAUCAUAGUUAGCGCCCUACCACCGAGACCAGAGAUAGCGAUACCCUGAGUCGGCCUUUACUUAGGGAUGUAAGAAAAUGAAAGGAAUAAGAUUGUAAUAGUCAUGUUAAAUCGGAUUGUAUUUGGAAGUUAAAUGUAAUAAGUAUUUGGGAUGUAAAAUGUAUGAAUAUGAGUGAAUGUAAUAAUAUAGGAUGUGUUAUGUUGUUUGAUACCUUCCAUUAAGCAAUCUUGAUUGAAAUGUGUUCCUGGUUGGAACUUCGCACAUUGUAUUGAUUGCUAUGCCUUGAACGUACAGGGGAGACUCUGUCCGCAGUACAGGAAAAACCCUGUCCGUUCGGCGAUCUGUUGGCGGCGCCGCGACCCGGCCAAAUAGGCAGGCGGUCGCGGGGCGUGACAGCCUCCACCCCUCUCAUUUCAGAAUCCUCAUUUGUAUUCUCAACUUUAAAGUAAUAGAAGAGCUUUCUUCUUAUCUCUCUCUUGUACUUAGUCUAGGGCGAGCGAGGUCCUAACUUAGCAAGUAGAGAGGCAGGCUUGCUCACUUCGCGAAGGAAGGCGAGCACCGCACGGGCUUUUGCAAGCAAAUUCGUUAAGUCCGUGACAGUUGGUAUCAGAGCCGGUUCGAGAAGGAGCCAUGUCGUCAUCAGAGGCCGCUGCUGGCGACGUUGGGGGUGAUGCCUCCAAGCAACCCUCCAAGCGGGGCAAGGGCAAGGACACGCGAAUCACGAAGGAUUCCGCGUCGGUCGAGGAUCGCCUUGCACUGUUGGAGGACAUUCUAUCGAAAUAAGGCGUAGAUUUUGAGAUUCAAGGCAUAUGUUCAUUCGAAAUGUAUUACUAUAUUACGAUCCAUUCAAAUAAGCGUUGUAAUCCAAACUGUAUUUUACAUAAAGCUUACAAAAUGUAUUGCUAAAAGGGUGAAAACAAAAGGUGAAAACAAAAGGACCUGUAAGUAAAUUUGGAAGUAUAUAUACACGCCCUAUUACUGUGACGAGCACAAAUAAAAAAAAUAAAUUGCUAUAAGAAAACAAAGGCAAUAUUUUUAAACCAAAACUCCCAUUUUUUCUGCAUCUAUAUUUAGGCGCAUAACAGUAAUAGGGCGUGUAUAAAAAAAAAAAAAAAAAAAAAAAAAGAGGAAAUCAAUACAAAUACAGUGAACAACUUGUAAUGCACUGGACCGUUGCAAAUUGCGAGGUUCGAGUGUUUGAUUUGAGUUCUGAGCUUUUCCACAUUUUCUGAAGGGUCGUAGACAGUGUUCCGACCCAUGGCUCGCAUCCCGAGAAUUGAGGAUUAAAACUUAGCACCAAACCUCGAAAUUGCAGGAAUUUUGGUUGCUCUCGGGUUUGCCUCUGCAUGGCAGAGUACCAAUACUACAUCGAGCUAAUACCGGUACCCUAUGUAUUUUCCCGCGCGGCAGAGGCUCGGGUUGGCAGUCUGCUAUUAGUUAACCGGUUCGCAGCUUGUUAACCGGUGACACUUGCCCGUGUUAACCGAUACACUGUGCAAUUCGCAGACUGCUUGUUUUUUAGGAGUGUUUUUGCAUUUGUAGCAACUCUAUAUUACCCCCCACGCCCCUUGGAUGUUUCCCUGAGAUUGGAAACACAGGAGAGAAGGUAGGGGAGCCCUCCACUUCUUCUCUUUGGUUCUUUUUGAUUUUUGUUGGGGUUUUUGAGGAUUAAUCACCUCUUUUGCUUCCUUUUUGUAUCUUGGUGGCAUUUCCACCAUAGGAGAAGGCUUGGAGCUUGGAGAAGAGCUUGUUGGAUGAGAGAUCUUCAACCCUAACUCAUUCCAAGCCUAGUUGGGAGCUUCUAAAGAGUUUAGUAUCAUGUUUUGCUCUUUUGAUCCAUGUUUUAGUGGAUUUUGCUUGAUGAAAACCUAGAAUGUGAAAUCUAGGGUUUAUUUGAAAAUUUUUUAUUUGUAGCUUUUAGGGCUUAAUUGAUAGGUGUAGAAUAUCUCGUUGGGGUGGAUUAGAAGGGCUCUAGCUUCCAUUUGGAAUUUGAGAGAAUUUUUCCCACAUUUAGGUGAGUUUUGCCCUAUUCUUAGGUUGAUUUGAGAUGAACACUUCGGAUGUUCGUUUGCUUUGUCUAACCCUUUUAGAAUUUUCUUUAGGAAGCUAGGAGGCUUGUGGACACCUUCGUUGGCGCAAACGAAGGAGAUUUAAGGAGCUCUUGGUGGGUUUGACCUUACCGAAAUGGGUGAACGCACCUUAUGUUAUUUUCCUUCAUUAUAAAAUAAAAAUUCUUGCAUAUUCAUGCUAGAUAGGGUAUGUGUGAAUUUUAGAAUGCUUAAAAUGCAUAUGUUACGUAUAAUGAAAUUUUACUUCUAUGUAGUAGAGAGAUUAGUGCAUUGCGAUUAUGCAUAUAAAUAGCAUUCUAUUAUAUGGUUUGGAAUCAUGUUUCUUACAAUGAAAAUGACUAGAAUAACAUGCUCUUUGAUGUAGAACUCAUGUUGGACAUAGCGGACAAAAAUGCCAUAAAGAGGCAUUCAACUUAGUAAAUGGUUAAACCUUUACUUGAUGACAGUGAUAGGCCAUUGGGUCACUAGCUUAUAUACCAUGUUUUAGACAUGAUAACAUAGUGGUAGGCCAUUGGGACACUAGCUCUUAUACUAUGUUUUAGACACAAUGACAUCGGACUUGAGACGGAUAUUUAUGCUUGCUUGCAAUUGUGCUCAUUCGCACAUGCUUGUGAGGGUCGCUCCCCACAAGUCGGCACUCCGGAGAUAGCCGUCGCGACAUAAGCUCGCCGGUGCGGGAUUGGGCGCAGAAAUGGGAUGCCGCGGGGAGGCUCAUUCUAGGAUGGGAAUGUUGACUACCACGGGGCCAUUAGGCACGGCGCAAGCCGGACUACCCACAGGUAGGUCCUAUAUGAUCGAAACAUUAUUUGAACUAAAAUGCAAAGUGGACAUUAGACGAAUUAGUAAACAAUGACAUUUUACUAGUUGCACUUGUAGGCAUCAUGUUGGUUACACUUAUGCAUAUUCAUGUUAGAAUAGCAUUUAUACUUAUGCAAAUUCAUGCUAAGUAGAGACACAAUAGUUUAGCAAGUUUAUUCAUGUUUAUUAUACAUGUUAUACAUUCUACUUAAAAGUUGAAUAAACUAUUCAACUACUUUCGGCCUUUUUUAGCUUAGUGGUGCAUUUCGCUGAGGUCAGCAAUUGCCAACUGGGAACUAUUGAUUAUAGUUCUCACGCCCCCUGUUUGUUUUCUUACAGAGCCAUCCGCACCGGUGGAGGCUCGGGAUCGUGGCAAAGGGAUCGCCUAGCUAGCUAGCGAGGAGUGUUUGCUCUUAGGUGGUCAUCUCUCUAUUUUUGUAUCUAUGUAGAGAGUGAGAGUUUUUGUACCCAUGUAUAGAGACCACCAUUUUUGUAUGCCUAGCACUUGUAUUUGGGUUUUGUUGUUAUGCAACUUCAUGUUUAUGUUAGUGAUUUAGUUCUCUUUUCAUUCUACUUGUAUUAGAAUCUAGUUGUUGUAUGCUCUGAUACUUCUAGAUGCUCCUUUAUUAUUGCUUUAUUUAUCGCUUUUGUAAUGUACCGAAAUUUAAUAUAAAAAUAAAUAUAAAUAAAAGUAGUGAGAGAUACUAUUUUUAUUUGACUUAGAGAAGUAAAAUAUAAGUCUGGAAUGACUUGUGCUGAAAUCGGAAUGAAAACAGAAAAUUUAGAAUUUUCUGUUGGAAACGGGACUGAUAUUUUAGCAGAAAAUGCAGUGUCAGAAAAUUAUAAAACUGGAGAAUAUGUCAGAAUUAUUUUUAUGAGGCUAGAUUUAAAGUUUCAUGUCAUUCUGACACCCGAAAAGUGAAAAAUAAAAUCCGACUGCUAUCUGCUAGAUAUUACAGUUCGAUAGAGCUUUCGAUGACCAAAAAUGGUCGAAACUGAAAAGUUAAGAUAUAUUCGGUUUUGUUAAAUUAAACCGAGCCUUACUGUCAAAUUUGAGCGCAAACGGACAUUCAGAAGGGCUCCAACAACUCUGAACUGCUAAAUUGAACUGGAGAUGCAAGUUGUAUUGUGUGAGAGGGGGUUUUGUGCAAUUGUUACAGCACUUAUUUGUGGCUGGCUGCAUGCGCACACGACACACACCCGCACACUUCUCCCCCUCCCUCACACUUGCAACCAAGAAGGAUCUCUCUCUCUCUCUCUCUCUUGAAGGUGGAAUCAAGAUAAGGAUUUGGUGGAGAUUGAAGCUUGAAGGUGGAUUUUCAUCUUCAUCAUCUUCUUCCCCUCCAUUGAAGCUAGCUUGAGAGGUAAGCUUUGAUGCCCUUUAAUGGUAGAAUUUUAGGGCUUCAAUUAUAUGCUCUAAGAAUGGAUUUAGUGAAACUCCUAGAUGCUAAAUAAAUGAUUAAUGCUUGAAUCAUGAAGCUAAAUGGUGAUUUCUUGCAUAGUUGUAAUCUAGGGCUCCAAAAUGAAAUUUUUGCUAGUAGAUGGGUUUGAUCUAAAUUGACCCUCCGUAAACCUAAUUGCUAAGUAUUCCGACGCGUUGGCGAAGUCGGUUCGGCAAUUCGUCGAGCCGGUGCGAAGUUAUUGAAGAAACGGAGGAUUUGGCUUUGUUUCCGCCUGGAAGGCCGAGGCGACGUCCAAAAAUCGCGAGAUCGGAUCAGGGCGUCGUGGCACGUCGUGGCACCAAGAUAAAGACCUUUAAUUUUUGGAUUGCGGAUUGGUGGUCGCUCGGUGGUCGAGCGUGAGAUCGAGCCGAACCAGGCGGCGGGUGCCGCGGGAGGCCGAUUGCAAGUGGUUACGAGCAAUCGGAACGCGAUAAUAGGUGGGUUGUGCUUGCCGAAGCGACUAAGUCGCCUACAUGUCGAAGAGAAAUGUGCUUUCUCGUUGAUGGAUAUACAUAUGUGAUAGCUACCUUGGAUGAAUAUAUAUGCAUGUUAGCAUGAUUAGAAUAUGUGCAUGAUGGCAUCAUGAAUGUGUUAAAGCAUAUAAAUAGAAUGUAUGCUAGUGGAUAGUAGCAUGCUGAUGCAUUGAAAAUACAUGCUAGAUGAUAAUGGCAUAUUAGCAUUAUGAGAAUGCAUACUAGAUGUAUAUGCAUGUUGAUUUCAUAGUAUAUAUAUGCUAGAUAGAUAAUAUAUAUAAGCAUGAUAGCCUCAAGUGAAUUAUACUAUACGAUAGUUGAAUAUGCUUAUUGAUAAUUGCACAUUGAUGCAUUGAGAAUAAAUGCUAGUGAAUAGAUUCAUGUUGACAUGUGCUAGAACAUGCUAGGGCAUAUAAAUGAAUGUUAACAUAUUGUUAAUUAUGUGAGUUUAUGAAGCAUGUGAACAAAGUGAGCAUAUUGCUAGAAUAUGUAAAUAGGCAUGUGGCAUUUAACCUAGUGUCGUGGACCUAGGGUAGAUCGAGUGGCAUUAACCUAGUGUCGUGAAUAUAGAUUGAACAAGUGAACCUAGAAUCAAGAUUUAGGUAGAUUGACAUCGAACCUAGUGUUGUUAAACAUAGGUUGACAUCGAACCUAGUGUUGUUGAACCUAGAGUUAAUCAGACCUAGGUGGGUGGCAUUAAACCUAGUUUAAAGAAUAUAGGUUGUGGAUUGAACCUAGAGUUAAAUAAGCCUAGGUUAUGUGAUAAGGGCAUUAAACCUAGAGUCAGCUAGACCUAGGGUGGAAAGUGCAUUGGACCUAGAUAGAUCUAUACUAUAGGGUUUGAGAUUACCCUAGAGACUUGGAAAGUGGAUUCCGAAAUCCUAGGAUUGUGAACUCGAUAGUUCUAGAGCAGUGGGUUGAGUGUGGCAUGUUCCCCUCCCAUUGGACGAACUUCGAGGAUGAGCUUGUGGAAGAUUCUGGCCGCGGGUUGAGUGUGGCAUGUUCCCUUCCCACCGGAAGAAUCUCGGAUCGCUAGGGUUGAGUGUGGCAUGUUCCCCUUCCGUCGGGAAGAUCCCUGACCACGGGUGUACAUAGCUCUCGGCGACCCGUUGGGCGACGUGAUUAUGGAUUGAAGGCUGAGGUGCAAGUGAGGGUUCCUUCACCUCGAGCCGGAUAGAGCACGGAUUUUCCGCAAUUGAUUGACUCGAGGCCGAAUCGGGUGGCUAGCUUGAAUAAGGUAGAUGGAACCUUAAGGGCUAGUGGUACAUAGCAUGGAUCUAAGGUAGUAGAACCUUCGAAGCUAGUUGGUUGUGAGCUAGUUGGCAAGAUAGAAGUAGGAUUGGUAAAUCUACGUAUGAUAGUUGCAUUCUUGCAUGAUUCGCAUAUAGCUUGACAUUGUUGCAUUCGUGAGGCAAAAGUAUGUAUAUGUUAGUUGCAUUUCUUAUGAUAUUAUAUCUAUCUGUGGACUAACAUAUUGUUUGCCUCCUUUGAACCUGUUGGUCGAGCUUCUCCCUUGGGUGGCCGUACCCACUGGGAACUAUGGAGUUAGUUCUCACCCCACGUUGCUUUGGGGUGUUACAGGUUCGCACGUGAGCGGCGCGUCGGCGUGAAGAAAGGGCGUAGCUCCAUAGGUAGCGCCCUACCCCAGAGACCAGAGAUAGAAGUACCUCGAGUUGGCGUAGCCUAGGUGUUAAUUGUCAAAAGAAACAAAAUGUAUCCAACUUGUAAUAAUUGUAGUAAUUCAGAUUGUAUUUAGAGGUUAAAAAUGUAAUAUGCAAUUGGAUGUAAAAGUUGAAUGUACCUAGUGUGAAUACUUGUAAUAGCAAGUAGUUUUAUGUUUUUGAUACUUC
rnacentral:lncRNA from 1 species